rnacentral:lncRNA from 1 species
UGUACACUCUGAGGCCAGCCCUGGGCUCUGACACUCUCCCGAUUCCGCUGGGCUUUCUAAGCCCUCCUCUCCUGUCCACUGCUGGCCCAUGGCCCAGGCCCAGCCUUGAAGCUGUAAAGACCUCUCACCCCAUCCAAAUGAGACUGGUCAGAUAUCUCCCGCAUGUCAGCCGCCACUGGAUUGGGAAGGACGGGCAGUAGGUGCAAGGCUGGCCCUUUUUAUGAGAGUU